AUAUUUAUAUACAUAUAUGUAUAUUUUUAGUAAAAAAGUAUCUCUAUCUUUCUCUAUAAAAAGAAAAUAUCUUACAAUCAGAUUGUACCUGUAACAAAGGACAUUUUUUAACAGGUUAAGUAAAAGAAAGAUAUAGUUCCUUUUGUAUAUCUAAAGUUCGAUUUGUCAGAUGUACAAUUUACGUUUUCGGUCUACUAACUGGAUUUUAUUAUGCGCACAGAUAAAAGUCGAAUUUUUAUAUGCUCAAAUUUAUCGAAGUCUCGAGAGUAAUAUAAUUCAGUUAGCAGAAUAUUUUAUAUGUAUUAUGUAUAUCGAAUAGUCUUUAUGGAUAUAGUGCAAUUUUGUAGAAAGUAUAGCCAAACAGCUUUCUCAAAAUUGUCAUUUUAUAUGUACGUCGAUAUAAAUAUUAAAUAGCAAUUGUAUAUCUUUUUGUAAAUUGUAAAUAGCGUCAUGGAGUAUAGGUUUUGUGCGUCCGUAAGUCGCUUAUAGGCAUGUAUUAAGUAAAACUGAGCUCUCUUACAAUUGUGUGAGUAUAAAUUAUUCGACUGGGGAAUAUUCGUGAUCGACUGAAUUUUUUGUUGCUUGUAUAUUUCGCGAUAUAUGUUAGCGUUGCGUAUGUCCGAUACGCAACUUUUUUAUCAUAUUGAGAAUGCGAUUUGCAUUCCGUACACACACAUGCACACAUUCCAUGGGACAACGAAGUGAUAGAAAAGUCAUAUACCAGGAUAAUGUUCUGAAAAGUUUCGACUUCAGAACAGCAUCCUGGUAUUCCGAGUCAGGGUGGUCCUCGGAACUAUUGGAAGUCCAGAUGACUGCGUUACAUGUCGGAAAAUCGAUCGUAUUGCAUUUCGAAUGCCCAGGUAUCUCAUCUGGGCAUUUGUAUAUUCAGAUGGAAUGAUGAUCGACGGUAAUGUACGUGUUUGAGGGGACGGACUUUUGAAAGAAUAUAGAAGACUUCGUUCCACGGAAUGGAGGUGAAAAAUCUUUCUUGGAGUGCUUCCUUCUCUAGAUUUAAAAAAAAAAUGGUACAUUACUCAUUCGGGAGCCCGACGAGACUGUUAUCUCCGCAUUUAAUAUCGAAGGGAAGUAAAACUUGCGCGCUCCUCGAUUUACCGUUUCUACUUUCAACAGGGCACGUCUUGCAAAAUUCAGGCGCGAACGUAUUGUAUGCAAAAUCAUGAGAUGCAUAAAUGACAAUCGGACAAGGAAGUAUGGAUUCGUCAAAAUUAAUAAUAAAUUUCAUUGAAAUAUUACUUAUUCAUGUUAUUACGAUGCGAAGGAGUCUCGACUAGAGGAACUGUCGAUGGUGUUUGGCGGAACUUCCAGAUUAAAAAAUAUCUAAUAUAAAAAAACUUAAGAAGGGAAAUAAAAUGUAUAACGUUGUGUAUACUUCAAAUGUUUUUUUUUUACUAUUACUUAAAUGCGAGUCUCGUUGAAAAUGAUAAAGUUGUAUAAAAAUGCAUGCUCACUUUAUAGGGCUGUAAUCAGAAACUUCGCCCAGGUGCAUCUAGAUACUAUUUCAUCCUUGUUUAACAUUCGAUGAAUAACAAGGAUAAAAUAUGUGCUGUGAAUUCCUGAACGCACCCCAGGGUUUAAAAAACAGACGAAGACUUUCUUAUGGAAGGUAUGGAGCUUUCCACAUCCAGAAUUUUGGGUAUUUACAAAUAUUUUAAUUUUUGACAAAUUUUAAGUAAUUUUGAAUAAUAUAUAUAUUUUCUACACACCCACACAU